rnacentral:lncRNA from 1 species
UUAUUUAUCAUUUUAGUACAUAGUUCCACCGUAGGUAAACUUCAACGUAACCAAAACUUUUUUUUUUUUUAAUUCACUGCAUUGUUUUUGAAUUGAAAUUGCUGUAUCUUUUCCCUGCACCUGAUUUUCAAGUUGACAGUAGAUGCAUCAUCGCCGCACUUAGAAAUAUGGUUUAAGCAACUAUAAUGAUGAUGUAAAAGUAUAAAAAGAAUUAAAUAAUUAAUUAUGGUGUUUUGAUAGCACAAUGACUUGGUGUGGCUGGUAAAUGAAUAAUAUUGUUUUCUAUUUUUAUCUUUUAUAUUGAUUUUGGGGCAAAUAAGACAUCAGAGAAUUUAUGUAUUUAUAAAUUAUUUUAUUAUUGUUCUUGCUACGUGGGAU